CAGAGGGUUUGAUCCUGUAGCUCAGAUUGAACGCUGGCGGGAUGCUUUUACAUGCAAGUCGAACGGCAGCACGGACUUCGGUCUGGUGGCGAGUGGCGAACGGGUGAGUAAUGUAUCGGAACGUGCCUAGUAGCAGGGGAUAACUACGCGAAAGCGUAGCUAAUACCGCAUACGCCCUUCGGGGAAAGCGGGGGACCUUCGGGCCUCGCACUAUUAGAGCGGCCGAUAUCGGAUUAGCUAGUUGGUGGGGGUAACGGCUCACCAAGGCGACGAUCCGUAGCUGGUUUGAAGGAGACGACCAGCCACACUGGGACUGAGACACGGCCCAGACUCCUGGGAGGCAGCGGUGAAAUUUUGGACAAUGGGGAAACCCUGAUCGUGCUCCGUGUGCGAUGAAGGCCUUCGGGUUGUAAACACUUUUGGCAGGAAAGAAACGGCCUGGGGAUAAUACCCCGUGCAACUUUGGCCGACCGGUACCUGCAGAAUGGCACCAGCUAACUACGUGCCAGCAGCCGCGGUAAUACGUAGGGUGCAAGCGUGAAAUCGGAAUUCUGGGCGUAAAGCGUGCGCAGGCGGUUCGGAAGGAAAGAUGUGAAAUCCAGAGCUUAACUUUUGGAACUGCAUUUUUAACCACCGAGCUAGAGUGUGUCAAGAGGAGGUGGAAUUCCGCGUGUAGCAGUGAAAUGCGUAGAUAUGCGGAGGAACACCGAUAGCGAGCUGCGACCUCACCAGGAUAACACUGGCAACCAUUUUUGAAAGCGUGGGGAGCAAACAGGAUUAGAUACACAGUAGUCCGCCUAAACGAUGUCCAACUAGCUGUUGAGGGCCUUCGGGCCUUGGUAGCGCAGCUAACGCGUGAAGUUGACCGCCUGGGAAGUACGGUCGCAAGAUUAAAACUCAAAGGAAUUGGCAGGGACCCACUGGCAAUGGAUGAUGUGGAUUAAUUCGAUGCAACGCGAAAAACCUUACCUACCCUUGACAUGUCUGGAAUCCGAGAUUUGGGAGUGCUCGCAGAGAACCGGAACACAGGUGCUGCAUGGCUGUCGUCAGCUCGUGUCGUGAGAUGGGUUAAGUCCCGCAACGGGCGCAACCCUUGUCAUUAGUUGCUACGAAAGGGCACUCUAAUGAGACUGCCGGUGACAAACCGGAGGAAGGUGGGGAUGACGUCCGAUCCUCAUGGCCCUUAUGGGUAGGGCUUCACACAUCAUACAAUGGUCAGGACAGGGGAUUCGCCAGCCCGCCAGAGAGCCAAUCCCGAAGCCCGAUCGUGAUCCGGAUCGCAGUCUGCAACUCGACUGCGUGAAGUCAGAAUCUUCGUAAUCGCGGAUCGGCAUGUCGCGGUGAAUACGUUCCGGGUCUUGUACACACCGCCCGUCACACCAUGGGAGUGGGUUUUACCAGAAGUAGUUAGCCUAACCGUAAGGGAGGCGAUUACCACGGUAGAGUUCAUGACUGGGGUGAAGUCCUUCGGUAAA
rnacentral:rRNA from 1 species